rnacentral:rRNA from 1 species
GACGAACGCUGGCGGCAUGCCUAACACAUGCAAGUCGAACGAGAACUUCGGGUCUAGUGGCGCACGGGUGCGUAACGCGUGGGAACCUGCCCUUAGGUUCGGAAUAACUCCCCGAAAGGGGUGCUAAUACCGGAUAAUGUCUUCGGACCAAAGAUUUAUCGACUUUGGAUGGGCCAGCGUUGGAUUAGCUAGUUGGUAGGGUAAAAGACUACCAAGGCGACGAUCGAUAGCUGGUCUGUGAGAAUGGUCAGCGACACUGGGACUGAGACACGGCCCAGAAUCUUACGCGAUGGAGGAGUGGCGAAUAGAGGAAAAUGGGCUAAAGGCUGAACGUGCUAUGCCGGGAAAGUUAUGAAAUCCGGAAAGAAGAAAUGUGCAUGUACCCGUGAUGAUAAUGACAGUACCGGGAGAAUAAGCUCCGGCUAACUCCGUG